AUUGAACGCUGGCGGCAGGCCUAACACAUGCAAGUCGAGCGGUAGCACAGGGAGCUUGCUCCUGGGUGACGAGCGGCGGACGGGUGAGUAAUGUCUGGGAAACUGCCUGAUGGAGGGGGAUAACUACUGGAAACGGUAGCUAAUACCGCAUAACGUCGCAAGACCAAAGAGGGGGACCUUCGGGCCACUUGCCAUCAGAUGGGCCGAGAUGGGAUUCGCAAGUAGGUCGGGUAACGGCGCACCUAGGCGACGAUCCAUAGCUGGUCUGAGAGGAUGACCAGCCACACUGGAAAUGGGACGCGGUCCGGACUCCUACGGGAGGCAGCAGCGGGGAAUAUUGCACAAUGGGCGCAAGCCUGAUGCAGCCAUGUCGCGUGUAUGAAGAAGGCCUUCGGGUUGUAAAGUACUUUCGGCGGGGAGGAAGACGAUAAGGUUAAUAACCUUGUCGAUUGACGUUACCCGCAGAAGAAGCACCGGCUAACUCCGUGCCAGCAGCCGCCGUAAGAC
rnacentral:rRNA from 1 species